UCCGGUUUGUCACCGGCAGUCUCCUUAGAGUGCCCAACUGAAUGCUGGCAACUAAGAACAAGGGUUGCGCUCGUUGCGGGACUUAACCCAACAUCUCACGACACGAGCUGACGACAACCAUGCACCACCUGUCACUCCUGCUCCGAAGAGAAGGUGUAUCUCUACACCGGUCAGGAGGAUGUCAAGCCCUGGUAAGGUUCUUCGCGUUGCUUCGAAUUAAACCACAUGCUCCACUGCUUGUGCGGGCCCCCGUCAAUUCCUUUGAGUUUCAGCCUUGCGGCCGUACUCCCCAGGCGGAGUGCUUAAUGUGUUGACUUCAGCACCAAGGGUAUUGAAACCCCUGACACCUAGCACUCAUCGUUUACGGCGUGGACUAC
rnacentral:misc_RNA from 1 species